GACGAACGCUGGCGGCGUGCCUAAUACAUGCAAGUCGAACGCAGUGGGGACGGGUGAGUAACACGUGGGUAACCUCUCAUAAGAGGGGAUAACACUUGGAAACAGGUGCUAAACCGAUACUGAUGGAGCGACCCGCGGUGCAUUAGCUAGUUGGUGGGGUAACGGCUCACCAAGGCCACGAUGCUUAGCCGACCUGAGAGGAUGAUCGGCCACACGGGAACUGAGACACGGCCCAGACUCCUACGGGAGGCAGCAGUAGGGAAUCUUCGACAAUGGACGAAAGUCUGACCGAGCAACGCCGCGUGAGUGAAGAAGGUUUUCGGAUCGUAAAACUCUGUUGUUAGAGAAGCGGUAUCUAACCAGAAAGCCACGGCUAACUACGUGCCAGCAGCCGCGGUAAUUC
rnacentral:rRNA from 1 species